GGGAUUGCCCUAGUAACGGCGAGUGAAGCGGCAACAGCUCAAAUUUGAAAUCUGGCUCUUUCAGAGUCCGAGUUGUAAUUUGCAGAGGGCGCUUUGGCUUUGGCAGCGGUCCAAGUUCCUUGGAACAGGACGUCACAGAGGGUGAGAAUCCCGUACGUGGUCGCUAGCUAUUGCCGUGUAAAGCCCCUUCGACGAGUCGAGUUGUUUGGGAAUGCAGCUCUAAAUGGGAGGUAAAUUUCUUCUAAAGCUAAAUAUUGGCCAGAGACCGAUAGCGCACAAGUAGAGUGAUCGAAAGAUGAAAAGCACUUUGGAAAGAGAGUCAAACAGCACGUGAAAUUGUUGAAAGGGAAGCGCUUGCAGCCAGACUUGCUUGCAGUUGCUCAUCCGGGCUUUUGCCCGGUGCACUCUUCUGUAGGCAGGCCAGCAUCAGUUUGGGCGGUGGGAUAAAGGUCUCUGUCACGUACCUCUCUUCGGGGAGGCCUUAUAGGGGAGACGACAUACCACCAGCCUAGACUGAGGUCCGCGCAUCUGCUAGGAUGCUGGCGUAAUGGCUGUAAGCGGCCCGUCUUGAAACACGGACCAAGGAGUCUAACAUCUAUGCGAGUGUUUGGGUGUCAAGCCCGAGCGCGUAAUGAAAGUGAACGGAGGUGGGAACCCGCAAGGGUGCACCAUCGACCGAUCCUGAAGUUUACGGAAGGAUUUGAGUAAGAGCAUGGCUGUUGGGACCCGAAAGAUGGUGAACUAUGCUUGAAUAGGGUGAAGCCAGAGGAAACUCUGGUGGAGGCUCGCAGCGGUUCUGACGUGCAAAUCGAUCGUCAAAUUUGGGCAUAGGGGCGAAAGACUAAUC
rnacentral:rRNA from 12 species